rnacentral:tRNA from 1 species
UCUUUGGUAGUAUAGUGGUGAGUAUCUCCGCCUGUCACGCGGAAGACCGGGGUUCAAUUCCCCGCCAAAGAG